rnacentral:rRNA from 1 species
AGCUCCAGUAGCGUAUAUUAAUGUUGCUGCAGUUAAAAAGCUCGUAGUUGGAUUUCUGAUAUGAUCCGUCUGGUCCCUGGCUAACGCCUUGAGUACUGUGAUGUAUCUAUCAUCCUUCUAGUUAGGCCCACGGCGUUCUAACGAACCUGUGGUGUUUCCGACCUAGAUCAUUUACUUUGAAAAAAUUAGAGUGUUCAAAGCAGGCUUACGCUUAUGAAUAUAUUAGCAUGGAAUAAUAAUAUAGGACUUUGGUCUCUAUUUUGUUGGUUUCUAGAGCUGAAGUAAUGAUUGAUAGGGAUAGUUGGGGGUGCUAGUAUUUAAUGGCCAGAGGUGAAAUUCUUGGAUUCAUUAAAGACUAACUUAUGCGAAAGCAUUCACCAAGGAUGUCUUCUUUAAUCAA